rnacentral:rRNA from 1 species
UACUGACACUAAGGUGCGAAAGCGUGGGGAGCGAACAGGAUUAGAUACCCUGGUAGUCCACGCCGUAAACGAUGACAACCAGCUGUUGGGAAGCAACGCUUUUCAGUGGCGCAGCUAACGCAUUAAGUUGUCCGCCUGGGGAGUACGGCCGCAAGGCUAAAACUCAAAUGAAUUGACGGGGACCCGCACAAGCGGUGGAGCAUGUGGUUUAAUUCGAUGCAACGCGAAAAACCUUACCUACACUUGACAUACUUGGUAUCUUCUGUAAUCGAAGAGUGCCUUUUGGAACCAAGAUACAGGUGCUGCAUGGCUGUCGUCAGCUCGUGUCGUGAGAUGUUGGGUUAAGUCCCAUAACGAGCGCAACCCUUACCCUUAUUUGCCAGCGACUCGGUCGGGAACUAUAAGGGGACUGCCGGUGAUAAACCGGAGGAAGGUGAGGACGACGUCAAGUCAUCAUGGCCCUUACGUGUAGGGCUACACACGUGCUACAAUGGGGAGUACAGAUGGACGCUAAAGCGCGAGCUGGUGCUAAUCCCAAAAAACUCCUCGUAGUCCGGAUUGCAGUCUGCAACUCGACUGCAUGAAGUCGGAAUCGCUAGUAAUCGCGAAUCAGCGUGUCGCGGUGAAUACGUUCUCGGGUCUUGUACACACCGCCCGUCACACCAUGGGAGUGUAUUGCACCAGAAGUGGGUAGUCUAACCUUUCGGAGGACGCUCACCACGGUGUGAUCCAUGAGUGGGGUGAAGUCGUAACAAGGUAACCGUA